rnacentral:rRNA from 1 species
CCACAUAGGCUAGAGAUUCUGGGAUGAGUUCUAGCUCAAAUGGUACGCGAAUUGGAGCGCAACCGCUCUGCGAUGAGACUGCGUCGGAUCAGGCAGUUGGCGGGGUAACGGCCCACCAAACCUAUUACCCGUAGGGGAUAUGAGAGUAAGAGCCCCGAGAAGGGCACUGAGACAAUGGCCCUAGCGCUACGGCGUGCAGCAGGCGCGCAAACUCCACAAUGCGCAUACGCGUGAUGGGGGGAGUCUGAGUGAUUCACUUCGGUGAAUCUUUUGACAAGUUUAGCAAGCUUGUAGAAUAAGUGCUGGGUAAGACCGGUGGCAGCCGCCACGGUAAUACCGGCGGCACAAGUGGUGUUCACUAUUAUUGGGCUUAAAGAGACCGUAGCCGGCUAAAACCGUCUUAUGUGAAAUGUUAAGGCAUAACUUUAACGAGUGCAUAAGAUACCUUUUGGCUAGGGAGCGGGAGAGGUCAGGAGUAUUCAUGGGGUAAGGGUAAAAUCUUAUAAUCCUACGAAGACUACCGGUGGCGAAGGCGCCUGACCAGAACGCAUCCGGCGGUGAGUGUCGAAGGCUAGGAGAACGAAUCGGAUUAGAUACCCGAGUAGCCCUAGCAGUAAAUUAUGCAGACUCUGGUGUUGCGUCUAUCACGAAUAGACGCAGU